rnacentral:rRNA from 1 species
UCUUUAUAUAAAUUAUAUUAAUUUUAAUUAGGAAUAUUUUAUUUAUUAUUAUUAUUUAUAUUUUAUUGGGGUAAUAAAAAGAUUAAGAAAAUUCUUUUUUUAUUUAAACAUUGAUUUAUGAUUAAAUGAUCCAAAAUUUUUGAUUAAAAGAUUAAGU